CUUUUCUAGGGCCGCUCCCUCGGCAUAUUGAGGCUCCCAGGCUAGGGGUCGAAUCGGAGCUGUAGCCUCCGGCCUACACCAGAGCCAUAGCAACUCGGGAUCUGAGCCGUGUCUGCAACCUAUACUAGAGCUCACGGCAAAGCCAGAUCCUUAACCCACUGAGCAAGGCCAGGGAUCAAACCUACAACCUCAUGGUUCCUAGUCGGAUUCAUUAACCACUGUGCCACAACGGGAACUCCCAGGUGUGGCCCUUUAAAAAAAAGAAAAUAAUACAUAAAAAUUUAAAAGGGAGGAGGGCCAUACGAAGAAUAUAAGAAAGACUUCACAAGUGUGGGCUCUUCUCAUCUUUUGAACCAGGUAUUAAUUAGGUUCAGGCAAGCCUAAGAGAUUCCCAUUGUCCUGAGGCUCAGCAGGCAAAGCGUAACUCUUGUUCAUGGGGGCAGAGCAAAUCCUUACAGCAAGGACGUGCUCCCACACGGCGGAGAGAAGACUGCGCUUGGAAUCAGCUUUAAACCCUCGCUUCUCGACGACCUCGCUGCCCGACUUCGGACGACGCCCCUGUACACGGUGUGGUCACCUAACUGUACAAGGAGCUGCCGCGAGGCUAAGAGGAGAGGAUGUGAGAAAGGAGAUCAAACCGCUUAAGGUCCUCAAGGAGGCUCCACUCCUGAGCUCCAGUGGACCACAGCUAGCGACACAGCCAUGGUUAAGGAAGAAGCCAAGAGGCAUCUUUAGAAUGACACUGCGAAGGCACAACAGGCAUAUUGGCUCCCGACGGAGUUCUCUUAGAGAGUCCAGUGAAAGCGGCCAAGGGGGAAAGAAAAGGCAGCAAAGCCAAGGCCCCCCGCCCCAAGCUCCAGUCACCUGACAUCCCCAGGGAAGCUGGAACCAGCUAGAGGGUGCAGCCCAGGUGGGAGGUCAGCCUGCCUCUCUUGGUAACGUUCCUCUGCAGUCAGUCUCUGCACAGCGCUGACCUCUGCAGCCAGAUGUGGCGUUUGAGAACCUAACUGUUCCCAAGAUCCCCGAAUCAAACUGAGUCACUCUAAAGACCACUGGGCAUUUACAUGGUAAGGGGAAAGCAGAAACAGGGGAUCUUGCUUUUGGGGGGGGGAACACACCCGCAGCAUAUGGAGGUUCCCAGGCUAGGGCAAAAAAAAAAAAAAAAAAAAAAAAAAGAGCAGCCCAUCUGUAAUUCUGACUUACUCUGAGAAGAUUGUCUGAAUAAAAGAGAUGGUGAACCAGGGAAACCAGCUAGUUUCUGUCGUUCUUAGGGACAGGUCAAGGUUGGUCAUUGCCAAAGACAACAGGGUGAGCCAAAGGGGUCGGUUUUUAAGGUGUCUUUUAAGAAAAUCCGAAGAAACCGGAAUUGGGCUGCAGCCUUCCUGAUGUGUAAUUCAACAGGUGGGGCAUCAGGUGCAGUCCACGGACCCGUCUCACGUAGCAGAGGGCCUGUCUUUCCCAACCACAGAACACAGGUGGGGCACAAGCUGGCCCUGCAGACCCCGUCCACGCAGACCCCGACGGCAUGGACCGCAUCCACCAUCAUGAGCACAAUCACUGGUAACCGGCAAUGAGCAAGGCAAAGGAGCCUGGACCCUCUAGAACAUAAAAGCGAUUAACAUCCUGAAAUGCAAGAUCAGGAACAGCCAGAGAUUGAGAAAGGCGGGGGAGGGGAAAAGCGGGUGUAUUCUCUCCUGAUCUGGAGCAAAAAAGGCUAGGUCUCUCUUUCCCUUCUCUCUUCCUUCCUGCCAUCCCAGGUGGGAGAGGGCCUUUCCCUUCUGGUCUGGAACCGAGGCUGAGGC
rnacentral:lncRNA from 1 species